GAAGGACCCGUGUCAAGGUGUUAACUGAAAGACCCGUGUACAGGUGUAACCUGAAGGACCCGUGUCCAGGUGUAACCUGAAGGACCCGUGUCAAGGUGUUAACUGAAAGACCCGUGUCAAGGUGUUAACUGAAAGACCCGUGUACAGGUGUUAACUGAAAGACCCGUGUACAGGUGUUACCUGAAGGACCCGUGUACAGGUGUUACCUGAAGGACCCGUGUACAGGUGUUACCUGAAGGACCCGUGUACAGGUGUUACCUGAAGGACCCGUGUCCAGGUGUUACCUGAAGGACCCGUGUACAGGUGUUAACUGAAGGACUCGUGUCCAGGUGUUAACUGAAGGACUCGUGUCCAGGUGUAAGCUGAAGGACCCGUGUCAAGGUGUUAACUGAAGGACCCGUGUCAAGGUGUUAACUGAAGGACUCGUGUCCAGGUGUUACCUGAAGGACCCGUGUACAGGUGUUACCUGAAGGACCCGUGUACAGGUGUUACCUGAAGGACCCGUGUACAGGUGUAACCUGAAGGACCCGUGUACAGGUGUUAACUGAAGGACUCGUGUCCAGGUGUAACCUGAAGGACCCG